AUCAGGAGAUCCUACUUGGUAUGUGUAGA
rnacentral:piRNA from 1 species